CGGACCGGAAACCGACCGGUUCUUAAGAAACGACAUCGUUUCAUUGUUUUUAAAAAAAGAAUGAAAAAAACCCCACCCCUCCACGCGAGUCCCUCACCCGCAUACACCCCCUCACGCCAAACACCCCUCCUUCUCCUUCGAAACACACACUCAAGCCCUAGGGUUCCCCAAACGGCCAAACCUAAAACCCAGCUUCGUCAACGGAACCGUUGCCGCCGUCCGUGGUUGUCGGCAUCUCCGCGGCCUCCUCCUCCCCCUGGUCUAAAUCCAUACGGCCAGACCUCCACUUUUAGGCUUUCUAGCUCGGCACGUUGUCCUGUCUUCGUCGGUGACUUCGCUGUUCGAGGCUUCCAGCUGCUACGCUGUCGUGUCACCGUCGUUUCUUCGUCGUCUCACCGUCUUCGUCCUGUUGUCAGUGGAAGUUCUGCUUUUGGCAAGGUUCUAAAAACCGGACCGGAUUGGCCAGUUCGACCGAGUUAACCGAGAAUCGGUCAUUUAGCCGGUCCGGUUGAUGUCAGAAACCGACCUGCAAAAAACCGGUGAUAAAACCGGACGAACCGGUAAACCGUAUGAACCGGCCGGAUUUUUGAGCCUCCCGGUUCGCUACUAUAUAUAUAUAUAAAAGAAACCAGAGAGGCAGAGAGGCUCUCUUCUCAGUUCUCAGUUCUCAGUUCUCUCUCCGAACACGAAAUCCUAUCGCAGCCACCUUCAAGCUCCAGAACGCGUGCCAGCCCCCGCCACUGUCAGCCGCCGACAGUGACAACCCUCUCGAAGGUCUGCUCGGCCCUCUCGAAGGUCAAGCCAGUCGUCGUCGUCGGCUCUGAGUUGCAGAUUUUUUGUUUUUGUUAAGUUUGGUUCGCUUAUGGCUCUCACCGGCGCUCUUCAACUCCGUCGUGGACUUCUCUCAUCGUCGUCGCUCAUGCACGUUCGCUUCUCAUCGGCGUUUUUCUGCUUCGUCUCUAUUCUCUCUCUCUCUUUCUCAUAGCUCAGUCACUGUUACCGUUGGUUUAGAGCCAAGAAGCUCUUUCUCAAGGAGGCAACAUUGUUGAACAGAUUGUUGUUCAAAUCAGAGUGGUGUUGGCAUUUGUUGGGGAGAAUAGAGCACUGCAAGGUUACUCAUCUGCACUGUGGAUUGCUCAGGCAGCGGCUCCGAAAAGAGCAUCGUUGUGUCCCUCAUAGAGAGAUUCUAUGACCGUUCAUCAGGACUAGUGAGCCAAGAACCAACUUUGUUUGCGACAACAUUCAGAAGCUGACGAAGUUGAGAUUGAAGAAGCCGCAAGAUAACUAGAACGGUUCGAUGACUGAUCCGGUUCUCAGAACCUUGCGGAUGAGCGAAGCAGCAAACAUUAAUUGCAUGUGACUUUCAAAACGAAGUCGUUCAAUCCACCAAGUCUAUAUAUACAAUUGCGAUCCCA